GUCCUGCGUUCUCCGCUCCACAGGGGCAGGCUGCACGACCAGCCGGCUCCCAAGUGAGCGUGACCGGUGGCUCAGGUGGUCCGUGCUUCAACUGUGGCCGCGUCGGCCAUUUCUCGAGGGAGUGCCCGUAUCCGAGGCCGGGAGCCGCGGUGAGUGCCCCGCGACCACCGCUGGCUCAGUCAGCACCGCAGUCUUCGCAGGCGACUCACGUUCCCAAGCGUGGUCGAGCUCGCCACACUACCGCCGACGAGGUUCAGGAGGGUGACACCGUCCUGAUGGGGAACUUCGAACCGGCGAACGAGGCGAACGAGGCUGUCCCCGGAGGUUCCCGCAGUGGUGAUCUUGACUCGGGUAACUGUGAGCAGCAGCUAGGGCAGCAAGGCAAGCAUCUAUCAUAUUGCACCGUGUCAAAUUGAAAUCUAAUAUGUUAUCUACGCUUGUGUAUACAUUGCAUGUGUCGGGUACCGAGUUGGGUAGAACCUAUGCCUAUGCAUUCUCCCAUUUUGGUCACGUGCCGUGUUGUUCCUAGGAGCCUAGUGGAGUCAUCGAGGCCUACUUAUAGUUCGCUAUGCUUAGUGGUACUUAGGCUUUCCGGUAGAAGUCGACGACGGCGUCCACCGUUGUCGCGAGCCUAGGGCUUAUUACUUGUUCACACUUGUGGUUGUGUUGAGGAUGAGUCGGUUUGGUGAGUGGUGAGUUGAGACGAGGUGUGGGCGGUGUUAGGGGUGUCAUCUGCUCACGAGGAGUCCUCAGGCAGUUCGGGAAGGGAACCCGGACACCGUAGACCGCUUGCACCGGUUAAGCACCGAUCAUCGGUGUAGUCGGCUUUAGCACUUACCUUACUCACCACAUGCUGAUAUAAUGGUAGGCGAGCCGAUUACCUUCGCAGACGUGGUCAUGUGGGCCUCGUCAUAGACGGUGUGAGUCCGGUUUGAGUCCGGGCUUUUAGCAGUAUUAGUUUGCUCGAGGAGUAGUUCUAAUACCGCCUCGCCGAGCUAUGGUUGAUCCACAUGGUUGGGCCUGGUUGGGAAAGGUUGUCACGGGUACCCCCUUGUGCGCAUCUUAGCGGGUGGCACAAGCCGUAUGGUCCCUGUGUCGUGUGGGUCCAGGAGUAUCCCCCUGCAGGGUGUAUAAUCAGUUCGAACUGCCGCGCUCUCGGUCAUGAGCAUCGCUAUCGCUUAUCUCCACCGAGCGACCAUAUUUUGGUCGUAGAGUUUCGAUAUGGGUUGUGGCAUGGUUGGAUUGGGGUGGUUUGGUCGGUAUGUGGUCGGUGGUUUGGUGGUAAUGGUUUACUUUUAUACACUUGUUUACAUAUCUGUUGUGGUCAGUUGGUUGGCAGAGUUUGAGUCGGUGGUUGGUUAAGUCAGUUGCUUACACCUAGAGUCUAGGUUGCUUACCGCUUAAUGAACUUAAACAUGUCUUAAUCCUUGCUACAGCUUUAAAUGCAUGAUCCUUGGAGUCGAGAAUAUAUAUACUCAUACUGUGUAAGACUUGCUAGUACCUUCGUACUAAGGGGUGCUGCCCUUAAGUUGUUUUCAGGUUCACAGGUCGGCGAGGAAGAGGCAGUUUUCGGCUACUUUUUGCCUGCCGAUCCGGGUGGCGGGCAGGAGUAGCACAUUCUACUCCGAACUCCGACGCUUUUGGUAUGGAGCCUAAGGGCAUACGGCUCCAUACUCUUUUGUUGUAUAGGUUUUUCUUCCGCUGCUUAGUUGUUGCUGUUCUUCUUUUGUUGUAAAUUGUGGAAGCAGUUGCAUGUUUAAUAAUUGUAAUCCAGUUUAAUUA